CCGGAAUAGCUCAGUCGGUAGAGCAGAGGACUGAAA
rnacentral:tRNA from 2 species